GUGCUCGGGGCGGUGUCUUCGCUGCGGAGGCUGCGGCUGCGGCUUCGAUCCGGAGUUGCUCCAGUCGGAGAGUGAGCGAAGGUUAGCGGAAGAUUUAGCGGAAAGCAGCGACGCUGUGGGCGAUUUGCCGAUGGCGGUGGAAGUGACAAUCGAAUAUUGUUCUGGAUGAGGAUUCCUGGCCCAUUUCCUGACCCUAGCAGAUGAAAUCACGGAGCAGGUUCCUGGUGUCAAGGUUACGGGUUUCAUUGGCCAGACAGGAAGUUUUGAGGUUUCAAUUAACAACCAACUGGUUUUCUCUAAGUUGGAAUCACAUGGGUUUCCUUAUCAUAAAGAUAUCAUUAAAGCAGUAAAGUCAGCUAAAGAAGGAAGUCUUGUGAAGAAGGUUACUUACCAGGAGCAGAAGAAGGGUUGUAUCAUCAUAUAACGGAAACCAAACGAUGAGCAAAGAACCCUGAUAUAAUUUGACAGUUUUCAACCAAUGAAGCAUUAGUCUGUUCAUGACUGUUUUCCCCAAAAGUUAUCGGUGAAGACAUGAGGAAACAUCAGAAGAUGUGCUUCCCUGAUUUGGAAUCUGCUACAAAUUUUUCAGGUGUUGUGUAGAGAAUGACUGGUAUAAUAUUGUUACAAUUAAAUUGGAUUUAUCUAAUCUUUCUCAUCCUGUUCCCAUGUUAAGUAGCACACAAAAUAUCACAAGUCAGCAGCCCAGCCCACUUCAGCUCCAGAAACAAACUGUAGGUGUUACACUCAGCCCAUUGAGACAGACGUCCCAGGCUCUAUCUCAGUCCCGAGUAACUCCCUCGAGCUCAGUGGUGACGUGAAUCUGUCAAGUUGCACUCACUCUUAAAACUGAUAUCAGGAGGCUGUAAUGGGGAAGUGCUCAAUGACGUUACCGGCAUAUUAUGCCUGUGAUGCAAAGCCUCCCUUUUGAGCUGUCCUUAUGUACAAAGGAGAGAGUAGCCUUUUUGACGGUGUCUAUGUGAUCACUUUGAGAUUGAGAGCUAAGCGGAUGAAUGUUGCUCAUUUGCCAUCUCAUGGCAAACGUUGUGUGAGCUGUGCUGGUGAAAAUGUCAUGUCUGAGGAGCCACUGAACAGAUGUAUUCAUCCAAAAGUUAGGUUUCUGUAUAUGUACCUGUGAACGAGUAUUUCCAACAAAGUAAUGGCUCGAAAUGCUGGCCCACCUUUCACAUUACUCAAUAUGGUGUGCUGUUAAAUAUCCUGUAUUAUCCAGCAUGAGGGGCAGAAUCUAAGUACUUUUAUAUCUGAUGAAUUUUGUUUUUCUUCCUGGAUUAGACCUUCUCCAAACAAAAUAAAUGUUACUUUCAUUUCAAA